rnacentral:rRNA from 1 species
UACGUAGGGUGCAAGCGUUGUCCGGAAUUAUUGGGCGUAAAGAGCUCGUAGGCGGUUUGUCGCGUCUGCUGUGAAAGACCGGGGCUCAACUCCGGAUCUGCGGUGGGUACGGGCAGACUAGAGUGAUGUAGGGGGAGACUGGAAUUCCUGGUGUAGCGGUGAAAUGCGCAGAUAUCAGGAGGAACACCGAUGGCGAAGGCAGGUCUCUGGGCAUUAACUGACGCUGAGGAGCGAAAGCAUGGGGAGCGAACAGG